GAAGAAGGCUCUGGAAAACACAGAUCUAGAAGAUCCAUGGGUGAUCCAUCUUCCCCUUUCUGGAGGAGGACAGAUCUUAUUUCUCAGGAGCAAAUCCUGUGGAAAGGUUGGUGAGAAUCCUGCUCUGAGUUGGCAUCAACAGCUGUACUAUGAGGUUUACAACAGCCGACCAUUGGUUACAUAAUUCUGAAUGUAAUGGAAGGAACAAAAUACCUGUGAAAAUCAUCCUAAUGCUUGCAUGCCAUUCUUCAACAUCUUGAAUAGCCUCUGGGUGUCUUAAAAGCUACAUGCAAUUCUCCUAUUUUUUACCACAAUUAUACUUUUUUAAUGCUAUAUGUAUAACAGGUGACUUAUCAAUAUUGGAUAAGGUUUGCCCGCACCACUCAGCCUAUUUUCCAACAUAACAGCUGAAAAAUUUUUCAUGAAUAGCAGUUACUUUGCUCUAAAAAAUUGCAUUUAAAAUAAAAUUGGAUUGUGGGAAAGAUAAUCAAUAGUUUAAACAUUUGACUUGAAAGCAACGUGGAGAUCAAAAACAGGUUUUAUAACAGGUUAGAUAUUUUAACAGCACUGUGCUGUGUACUUAGUCAGCUCUUAGCAGCAUGACUGCAACCAUGAUAAUAUUUAUAUAGCAUCAUAAUACAGCAGAACAAGAAUGAUGUUGUCAAAAGGACGCUUUUAUAACUUCUGAAACCUUAAAGUGGUAAGGAAAUUACAGCUGAAAUCUAACUCUUUUAAGGCAUAAAUCCUAAAUUCACUGUGGAUUUGCCCAGAAAUAAUGGAUUGGCCAUCAGAUUUGGAUGUUAGCAAAACAAGUAAGGUAUGACCAGUUGGUAACACUGGCUUAGGAAAGUACAUGAGGUACACAGCUCUGACUUACCUGGCUGCUGACAGAAGAUGAAUGAAUUGGUAGCAAAGCACCUGGAAAACCAAUGAUAGAUCAUUUAGAUCCAAAGAAAAAUCAGUUAUAUUACUCUAUCAUCUGAUAUAACUAGCUGUAAACUUGCUGUGUUUGUAAGUGGUCUGUAGCCACUUAUAAAUGAAAUCUGUGGGGUGUUUUGUCACUGUUUUCUAUUUUGUCACGUGCCACCCAAUAAAUAUACUUAGUGCAGAAUUUAGCUGAUGCAGUAAAGUUAACAAGUUGUUUGGUGUCUACUUGUGUGCGUUUCUACAGGGCUAGAGGCAAUUCAGCUGUUCUUAACUAAUUUCCAGAACUCAGCUCUCAAAAUGUGGCUUACCGGCCCAGUCUCAUUCCUUACAGAUCAUCCUUCCAGUCCCUCUUAAAUCUUCUUCUGAUGGAAAGUGAGAAUGUGAAGUGCAGCUCAGUGAUUGAGUUCUUUUAAAAGUAGAGGGGUGUAUUCAUAAACAGUAGCUUUUUUAUGGUAGAAUCUUGUUUAGAGUCCAGCAAGAAAGCUAUAAUAAUUUGCAUGUUUUUCCAGUAGAUUAUGCAUGCAGCUUCUCUGCAGUAUUUCUAAAAUUGUAUUCCAUCUCAUGUCUAAUUAAACUUGAAUUGUUGAUUUAAUUGCAGCCUGUGCUACAAGCAAAGUAUAAAACAACUUUGCUGUAUGUUGUUCAGUAGGCAAUUUAGAAAACUGCAAGUUGAGUUUAAGCAUAUUGCUGCAAACACAGCGGUAGGUAGGGCAUUCCCAUAGCAGAGCAGAAGAGUAAAUCUGAGCAUGCCGUGGAAAUGCAGAGCAGGCUACUGUCCCCAGUCAUCACAAGUUGUACUAUAUCUGCUAUUUGUGUUGUACUGCACUAUUCCUGAGGGCCUUUGAAAUUGCCCUCUCCUGUAGUAAACAUUUUCUUUGCUGUAUUCUAUUUCAUUGAGAAAACUGCCACAUGAGAAAUAAAAUUGGUUUCUCUUUUGUGUCCUCCUACACAAACUCAUCAGCAAAAGAAAGGAGGUUCUAUGUCUUCCAUAUACAAUUUCACAUUACUUUGCUAUUGUUAUUUGUGCUUACUGACAGUAUUGAAUAGUUUUUGAAAAUACAGACAUUUGUUGAACUCCUUAAGCUUGAAAUGAAUGGUGCUAUAU
rnacentral:lncRNA from 7 species